AAACGGCUGUUGAAACUAUCGCAAACAUUUGUCAACAACAUUAGAAGUGGGAUAAAUGUGUUGAUUUGAAGGAAAGACGGGCAGACUGGGGUCCUGUCUCUAAAAUGAGUCUCUCUGGGGAGAGAGAGGAGGGGGGCCCUGCCUCGAAAAGGAGUGUCUCUGGGGAACAUGGCACCAAAUCUAAGAGACCAAUCAAGCAGGAGAGACCAGCCUCCCCUGUUCCCAGCUGUGUGUCCAUGAAGAGUGACCAGUCUAUGGAUCCUCUUAUAUACUUUAGAGAGGGAGACUUUUCUACUGAACAAAGGUAAGAAGAACUCAUGGGUCAUGGUCAGUGAGUUAAACACCACUGUCUCUAGUCAUUUCUCCUCUCCCAUUUUCACAUUCCUUUUUGUUGUUUUCAUAAUCCGUAGGCUAAUCCUUCUGUCCAUUUUCAUAGUCCUAAAACAAUAUUAAACAAACACAACGUUCCCUCCCUGUGUGUGUGUGUGUGUGAAAGUGUGUGUGUUUGCACUCCCUGGACAAGGAAAUGAAAUCUCUAUCCUGAUUGCCUAGUCACUUUUGCCACUACCUACAUGUACAUAUUACCUCAAUUAUAGUCUCAUUAUUACCUCAACUACCUGGUACCCCUGCACAUUGACUCAGUACCUGUACUCCUUAUAGUCUCAUUAUUACCUCAACUACCUGGUACCCCUGCACAUUGACUCAGUACUGGUACUCCUUAUAGUCUCAUUAUUACCUCAACUACCUGGUACCCCUGCACAUUGACUCAGUACUGGUACUCCUUAUAGUCUCAUUAUUACGUCAACUACCUGGUACCCCUGCACAUUGACUCAGUACUGGUACUCCUUAUAGUCUCAUUAUUACCUCAACUACCUGGUACCCCUGCACAUUGACUCAGUACUGGUACUCCUUAUAGCCUCAUUCAACGGCUCAGACACGAGAGGUAUGUGGCAGGGUCUACAGUCAAUCACGGACUACAAAAGAAAAACCAGCCCCGUCGCUGAUCACGAUGCCUUGCUCCCAGACAGACUAAACAGCUUUUUUACUCACCUUGAGGACAACACAGCGCCACUGACACGGCCCGCUACCAAAAACUGCGGGCUCUCCUUCAUCGUAGCCAACGUGAGUAAAACAUUUAAACGUGUUAACCCUCGCAAGGCUGCAGGCCCAGACGGCAUUCCCGGCCACGUCCUCAGAGCAUGCGCAGACCAGCUGGCUGGUGUGUUUACGGACAUAUUCAAUCUCUCCCUAUCCCAGUCUGCUGUCCCCACAUGCUUCAAGAGGGCCACCAUU